rnacentral:rRNA from 1 species
GACGAACGCUGGCGGCGUGCUUAACACAUGCAAGUCGAACGGAAAGGCCCCUUUGGGGGUACUCGAGUGGCGAACGGGUGCGUAACACGUGCGUAACCUGCCCUUGACUUCGGGAUAACUUCAGGAAACUGGGGCUAAUACCGGAUAGGAAUCCUUGCUGCAUGGUGGGGGUUGGAAAGCUUCGGCGGUUUUGGAUGGACUCGCGGCUUAUCAGCUUGUUGGUGGGGUAGUGGCUUACCAAGGCUUUGACGGGUAGCCGGCCUGAGAGGGCGACCGGCCACAUUGGGACUGAGAUACGGCCCAGACUCCUACGGGAGGCAGAAGUGGGGAAUAUUGCACAAUGGGCGGAAGCCUGAUGCAGCAACGCCGCGUGCGGGAUGACGGCCUUCGGGUUGUAAACCGCUUUCAGCAGGGGCGAAGCUUGUGGUGACGGUACCUGCAGAAGAAGCACCGGCUAACUACGUG